rnacentral:ncRNA from 1 species
AAGGGGUAAUACCGAAAACCCUAGAAAUAGAGUAGGUA